UCUCUGCCCCGGGUGCGUCGCAGCCCCGGACCAAGGCGCCCGCCGGAGGACCAACCAAAACUCUUAUUGUAUACCCCCUCGCGGGUUUUUUUAUAAUCUGAGCCUUCUCGGCGCCUCUCGUAGGCGUUUCGAAAAUGAAUCAAAACUUUCAACAACGGAUCUCUUGGUUCUGGCAUCGAUGAAGAACGCAGCGAAAUGCGAUAAGUAAUGUGAAUUGCAGAAUUCAGUGAAUCAUCGAAUCUUUGAACGCACAUUGCGCCCGCCAGUAUUCUGGCGGGCAUGCCUGUCCGAGCGUCAUUUCAACCCUCGAACCCCUCCGGGGGGUCGGCGUUGGGGAUCGGCCCUCCCUUAGCGGGUGGCCGUCUCCGAAAUACAGUGGCGGUCUCGCCGCAGCCUCUCCUGCGCAGUAGUUUGCACACUCGCAUCGGGAGCGCGGCGCGUCCACAGCCGUUAAACACCCAACUUCUGAAAUGUUGACCUCGGAUCAGGUAGGAAUACC
rnacentral:rRNA from 1 species